rnacentral:rRNA from 1 species
AGUGGUACGCGAGCUGGGUUUAGAACGUCGUGAGACAGUUCGGUCCCUAUCUGCCGUGGGCGCUGGAGAACUGAGGGGGGCUGCUCCUAGUACGAGAGGACCGGAGUGGACGCAUCACUGGUGUUCGGGUUGUCAUGCCAAUGGCACUGCCCGGUAGCUAAAUGCGGAAGAGAUAAGUGCUGAAAGCAUCUAAGCACGAAACUUGCCCCGAGAUGAGUUCUCCCUGAGACUUUAAGUCUCCUGAAGGAACGUUGAAGACGACGACGUUGAUAGGCCGGGUGUGUAAGCGCAGCGAUGCGUUGAGCUAACCGGUACUAAUGAACCGUGAGGCUUAACCUU